rnacentral:rRNA from 1 species
GACGAACGCUGGCGGCGUGCUUAACACAUGCAAGUCGAGCGGUAAGGCCCUUUCGGGGGUACACGAGCGGCGAACGGGUGAGUAACACGUGGGUGACCUGCCCUCAGCUCUGGGAUAAGCCUGGGAAACCGGGUCUAAUACUGGAUAUGACUCCAUGACGCAUGUUGUGGGGUGGAAAGCCUUGUGCGGCUGAGGAUGGGCCCGCGGCCUAUCAGCUUGUUGGUGGGGGAUGGCCUACCAAGGCGACGACGGGUAGCCGGCCUGAGAGGGCGACCGGCCACACUGGGACUGAGACACGGCCCACGACUCCUACGGGAGGGCAGCAGUGGGGAAUCUUGCGCAAUGGGCGAAAGCCUGACGCAGCGACGCCGCGUGAGGGAUGACGGCCU